UGAACAGCGCUUCAGACUGUGUGAAGACACUGUGGGAUCUCUGCGCUCCUCCAGCCACGGCCACGGAGGCUGUGCCGGUGUCCGACCCCGGUCCAACCAAGAGAAGACGCACAAUUAACAAGAACCUCCGUGGAUUUACAGUUGAAGCAACAGUUGGUCAGCCACAAAGUGACAUAGACGAAAAGACUGAGUUCAAGAGUAUUUUACAGUUAUUGAUGCUGUGCAAGGAGAGAUGGAUGCGCGUUUUGGAGAGUGCAGUAGCGAGCUCAUUGGCGCACUGGCUGCUUUGAACCCAGAGGCCGGGGAUAAUUUCCUGGACCCAUCAAAGGUAAUCCCUCUCCUGCUAGCUGGAACUGAUGUGGCUGAAUCUGAAUAUACUGUGGCCCGUGAGUUCCUGGUUAAGAAAAUGAAUGACACCCCGAUUCCCCCCGAAGACGGAAAAUGGACAAUAGCAAACAUCCUUACCACAUUCAACUGCACUCCAGGCUAUGUAGGCUGUUCUCACAGCCUACACCCUUGCCCUAACUUUAGGAGCUUCCACAGCAAUGUGUGAAAACUAAUUUUCCACACUGAAAAACGUCUUCUCAGAGCAUCGGCGAAGUAUGCUGUACAGACGCAAGGCCCAGCUGAUUCAGCUUGCUUUUGAAAGGACCUGACUCACAAGUUUACGUCCGAGUGAAAGGAUAUGUUGAGGAGGUUCAGCUCGGAGGAACGCCGCCUCCCGCUGUACUGACAGCAGGGAGGACAGCGCUGACUCCACUCAAAGUAGGCCUAUGCUACCUUGUGUGUGUGUAUGUGCGUCUAAUGGCAAUGCAUAUCCCUGUUCACUUCUUUUCCACCUAAUAUGUUGUAUAGUCCAGUGUUUUAUGGAUAUAUAUUCAUAGCAUUGCUUCUAUGUAAUGUAAUGCUUUAAAUGAUGAGGAACGAUGUGAUGUAGGCUAUAGGCUACCGGGUCAUAUUGCCGUUGGUUAUGUUUAACGUGAUGAUUAUGUGCUGCGCGAAUAGAGGAUAGGAUUAUUCAAAAUAUACGUACUGUAGGCUAAUAAUAAUUGUGCCCCCCUAUGCAUUUCAUAUGCCCCCCUAUGUGGUUCAAAAUGUGACAUGAUUCAGAAAUUGAAGUCUAUCAGGAUUUUAUUGUUUGCAAGGAACUUCAAAUCAAUAGCUUGUUGAAAUUAACAAACAAUGAAAGUGUAAAAGUCAAAACUCAAUGUGCAGAACUCCAAAACUGUAUUCAAACAAUGGACUUCAGUGUUUAAUCAUCUGUAAAUAUGAUAUAGUUCCUCAUAUCCUUUUGACCUUAUUAUUAUUAACCUUCCACUUAAGGCAGGGCAUUGUUUUGAAUCAUUAAAAAUCCCUCACCUUAAAGUACAUAAAAAUCCUGCCUUGCUUAGAAAUGCACACGUAAAUCUGCCUGGCACAAAAAUACUGACCAUAUAAUGGUCACAGUCAGAAAGAAUGUAUAUAAAGUGUAAAAAAAUCCCAACACUCAACAUAGCAAACAAUCGUUGCUCACAUUGA